CGAACGCUGGCGGCAGGCCUAAUACAUGCAAGUCGAACGGCUCUUCGGAGCAGUGGCGGACGGGUGAGCAACGCGUGGGAAUGUGCCCUUAGGUACGGAACAACACAGGGAAACUUGUGCUAAUACCGUAUGUGCCCUUCGGGGGAAAGAUUUAUCGCCUUUGGAGCAGCCCGCGUUGGAUUAGGUAGUUGGUGAGGUAAAGGCUCACCAAGCCGACGAUCCAUAGCAGGUCUGAGAGGAUGACCAGCCACACUGGGACUGAGACACGGCCCAGACUCCUACGGGAGGCAGCAGUAGGGAAUCUUGCGCAAUGGGCGAAAGCCUGACGCAGCCAUGCCGCGUGUAUGAUGAAGGUCUUAGGAUUGUAAAAUACUUUCACCGGGGAAGAUAAUGACGGUACCCGGAGAAGAAGCCCCGGCUAACUUCGUGCCAGCCGCCGCGGUAA
rnacentral:rRNA from 1 species